GUCUUCGUCUGUGACAGAAACAGAAUCUUCCUCAGAGGAAGAGAGUUCAGAUUACAGCUCAUCAUCUGAUUCCGAGGAAAAGAGGAGGCGGCGGAGGAAGAAAAAGCAGAAGAAGAAGGAGAGGCGUAGGAGGUACAGGUCAACUUCGGAGUCCUCUGAUUCUGAUUUAGGUUCAGAAUCUGAUUCUGAAGAUAGGAGCAGCCGGGGGAAAAGGAGGCACUGCAGAAAUCGCUAAAUGAGUUGGUCAAAAGCAGACUAGAUUAAUGAAUCAUAUUGGCUUCACUUUAUUCUGCAUAUACCUUAUAUCAUGCUCUUGGAGCUUAUCGAAUGAGAGCAAAAAUUAGUUAGCAGAUGUGUUUGUUUUUCAUUUCCUUUCCUCAGGUCUUACUUUGUGAUGUAAUAGUCCUGAGUCAGCGUAGUUCUCGUAUCAUGUUGAACUUUUUGUUGGUAUGAUGGUGGGUUUUCCUAUAUUAAUGAACUUGAUUUUACAAGUUAAGCAGGAAUCUGACUUUGUAAAUGGUGUAUAUCUUUCCUCCUGCUUUUCAAUGGUUACAUGCUUCUAUUUGCUCUUGCGAAGAUGUAAAUUUUAUCCUGAAAUUUGUUCGAGGUGGAUUCACAUCAGUUUAAUCCAAAUUGCCUGCCUUGAUAUAUUAUCGAGUUCCUUGUGGGAGCUGCGGCUGAUAUCAGAUUGCUUUCACCGUUGGAUUUAUAUUUUUCUCGUUGAGGCUGUGCUCCUAGAAGGAAGAAAACCGAAAGUUUAAGGCGUUGCUGUGUUGACCCCACGGCCCUUGGUUUGCAGUAUUUGUCAGAUCGUUUUAUUACAUAUUCCUUGUAUCAUUACACGUCGCUCAAGCGGCAUUGUUUGUAGCCUUAGGUGAAGGUUGUAGUUGAUUUUUGUCAUAGUGUUCACAAAGGUGAAGGAUGAUACGACACUUUCACCAUUAAGGCAAGACUUGUUGUAGGAAGAUAAGAAUAACGAGGAACUGUGAGGCCGUGUGAAACAAAUUCCAAGUUUUCAGUAAGGAUUUGCAACAAAAGCAUCUUUUAGAAUUGAGUGUAUACAAGUUCUG
rnacentral:misc_RNA from 1 species